AUUGAACGCUGGCGGCAGGCCUAACACAUGCAAGUCGAGCGGAGCGGCGGACGGGUGCGUGAUGCCUAGGAAUCGGCCUGGUAGUGGUGGAUAACGUCCGGAAACGGGAGCUAAUACCGCAACCUCUCAGCUUAGCAUAGGUCGGAUUAGGUAGUGGGUGGGGUAAAGGCCUACCAAGGCGACGAUCCGUAACUGGUCUGAGAGGAUGAUCAGUCACACUGGAACUGAGACACGGUCCAGACUCCUACGGGAGGCAGCAGUGGGGAAUAUUGGACAAUGGGCGAAAGCCUGAUCCAGCCAUGCCGCGUGUGUGAAGAAGGUCUUCGGAUUGUAAAGUACUUUCAGUUGGGAGGCGUUACCAACAGAAUAAGCACCGGCUAACUUCGUGCCAGCAGCCGCGGUAAUUC
rnacentral:rRNA from 1 species